rnacentral:rRNA from 1 species
AUACGUAGGUGACAAGCGUUAUCCGGAUUUACUGGGCGUAAAGGGCGUGUAGGCGGUCUUGCAAGUCAGAAGUGAAAUUCCUGAGCUCAACUCGGGCGCUGCUUCUGAAACUGCAGGACUUGAGUGCUGGAGGGGAUAGCGGAAUUCCUAGUGGAGCGGUAAAAUGCGCAGAUAUUAGGAAGAACACCGGUGGCGAAGGCGUCUAUCUGGACAGUAACUGACGCUGAGGCGCGAAAGCGUGGGGAGCAAACAGGAUUAGAUACCCUGGUAGUCCACACUGUAAACGAUGAAUGCUAGGUGUAAGAGGUAUCGACCCCUUUUGUGCCGGAGUCAACACAAUAAGCAUUCCGCCUGGGGAGUACGGCCGCAAGGUUGAAACUCAAAUGAAUUGGCGGGG